CCUACGGGAGGCAGCAGUGGGGAAUAUUGCACAAUGGGGGAAACCCUGAUGCAGCAACGCCGCGUGAGUGAUGAAGGCCUUCGGGUUGUAAAGCUCUGUCUUUGGGGACGAUAAUGACGGUACCCAAGGAGGAAGCCACGGCUAACUACGUGCCAGCAGCCGCGGUAAUA
rnacentral:rRNA from 1 species